UACGUAGGGUGCGAGCGUUAAUCGGAAUUACUGGGCGUAAAGCGUGCGCAGGCGGUUUUGCAAGCCGGAUGUGAAAUCCCCGGGCUCAACCUGGGAAUGGCAUUCGGGACUGCAAGGCUGGAGUGCGGCAGAGGAGACUGGAAUUCCUGGUGUAGCAGUGAAAUGCGUAGAUAUCAGGAGGAAUACCGAUGGCGAAGGCAGGUCUCUGGGCUGACACUGACGUUCAUGCACGAAAGCGUGGGGAGCAAACAGG
rnacentral:rRNA from 1 species